CAUGUUCGACCUGCUGCGGGCAGAUAUAGUGGAUGUGACAGUCGAACCCGCCCGGCGUCAGGAUGCGUCCCUCGCCGGCGAUGAUUUCCGUGCCCGGCCCGAUGAUCAGGGUGACGCCGGGUUGCGUGUCGGGGUUGCCGGCCUUGCCGAUGCCGGCGAUGCGGCCGUCGCGCAGGCCGACAUCGGCCUUGGUGAUGCCCUGAUGGUCAAAGACCACGACACCGGUGAUGACCGUGUCCAUCGCGCCGUUCGCGCGGGUCACCUGCGACUGGCCCAUGCCGUCGCGGACG
rnacentral:sRNA from 1 species